UACAGAGGUCUCAAGCGUUGUUCGGAUUCAUUGGGCGUAAAGGGUGCGUAGGCGGCGCGGUAAGUCGGGUGUGAAAUCUCGGAGCUUAACUCCGAAACUGCAUUCGAUACUGCCGUGCUUGAGGACUGGAGAGGAGACUGGAAUUUACGGUGUAGCGGUGAAAUGCGUAGAUAUCGUAAGGAAGACCAGUGGCGAAGGCGGGGUCUCUGGACAGUUCCUGACGCUGAGGCACGAAGGUCAGGGGGAGCAAACAGG
rnacentral:rRNA from 1 species